rnacentral:rRNA from 1 species
GACGAACGCUGGCGGCGUGCCUAAUACAUGCAAGUAGAACGCUGAAGAGAGGAGCUUACUCUUCUUGGAUGAGUUGCGAACGGGUGAGUAACGCGUAGGUAACCUGCCUUGUAGCGGGGGAUAACUAUUGGAAACGAUAGCUAAUACCGCAUAACAAUGGAUGACACAUGUCAUUUAUUUGAAAGGGGCAAUUGCUCCACUACAAGAUGGACCUGCGUUGUAUUAGCUAGUAGGUGAGGUAAUGGCUCACCUAGGCGACGAUACAUAGCCGACCUGAGAGGGUGAUCGGCCACACUGGGACUGAGGCACGGCCCAGACUCCUACGGGAGGCAGCAGUAGGGAAUCUUCGGCAAUGGGGGCAACCCUGACCGAGCAACGCCGCGUGAGUGAAGAAGGUUUUCGGAUCGUAAAGCUCUGUUGUAAGUCAAGAACGGGUGUGAGAGUGGAAAGUUCACACUGUGACGGUAGCUUACCAGAAAGGGACGGCUAACUACGUG